rnacentral:rRNA from 1 species
GUCGAGCCGUUGAAACUGGCGUUCUUGAGUGGGCGAGAAGUAUGCGGAAUGCGUGGUGUAGCGGUGAAAUGCAUAGAUAUCACGCAGAACUCCGAUUGCGAAGGCAGCAUACCGGCGCCCUACUGACGCUGAGGCACGAAAGCGUGGGUAUCGAACAGGAUUAGAUACCCUGGUAGUCCACGCAGUAAACGAUGAAUGCUAACUGUCCGGUGCGAGUGAGCGCUGGGCGGUACAGCGAAAGCGUUAAGCAUUCCACCUGGGGAGUACGCCGGCAACGGUGAAACUCAAAGGAAUUGACGGGGGCCCGCACAAGCGGAGGAACAUGUGGUUUAAUUCGAUGAUACGCGAGGAACCUUACCCGGGCUCAAACGCAGGCUGACGGGUCCCGAAAGGGGCCUUUCUUCGGACAUUCUGCGAGGUGCUGCAUGGUUGUCGUCAGCUCGUGCCGUGAGGUGUCGGCUUAAGUGCCAUAACGAGCGCAACCCCUGUCCACAGUUGCCAGCAGGUAAAGCUGGGGACUCUGUGGAGACUGCCGGCGCAAGCUGCGAGGAAGGCGGGGAUGACGUCAAAUCAGCACGGCCCUUACGUCCGGGGCGACACACGUGUUACAAUGGCAGGUACAGCGGGAUGCCACGGGGCGACCCGGCGCUGAACCCGAAAACCUGUCUCAGUUCGGAUUGGAGUCUGCAACCCGACUCCAUGAAGCUGGAUUCGCUAGUAAUCGCGCAUCAGCCACGGCGCGGUGAAUACGUUCCCGGGCCUUGUACACACCGCCCGUCAAGCCAUGGAAGCCGGGGGUACCUGAAGUGCGUGACCGCGAGGAGCGCCCUAGGGUAAAACCGGUGACUGGGGCUAAGUCGUAACAAGGUAGCCGUAA